rnacentral:rRNA from 1 species
CCUACGGGAGGCUGCAGUGAGGAAUAUUGGUCAAUGGCCGGAAGGCUGAACCAGCCAUGCCGCGUGAAGGUCAGUGCCCUAUGGGCGUUAAACUUCUUUUGUGCGGGAGCAAUAAUGGUCACGUGUGGCCAGACGAGAGUACCGUACGAAUAAGCAUCGGCUAACUCCGUGCCAGCAGCCGCGGGAAUACGGGGGAUGCAAGCGUUAUCCGGAUUUAUUGGGUUUAAAGGGUGCGUAAGCUGUGAGGUAAGUCAGCGGGGAAAUGCCCCCGCUCAAAGGGGUGAAGUGCCAUUGAUACUGCCUUGCUGGAAUGCGGAUGCGGUAGGAGGAAUGUGUGGUGUAGCGGUGAAAUGCAUAGAUAUCACACAGAACACCGAUUGCGAAGGCAUCUCACGAAUCCGCGAUUGACGCUGAUGCACGAAAGCGUGGGUAUCAAACAGGAUUAGAUACCCCAGUAGUC